rnacentral:rRNA from 1 species
UUCGCCUCGGGGUUUUUAAAACAUCGCCUCUUGCAAUUAAAGUAUAAGAGGUCCUGCCUGCCCAGUGACAUUAGUUUAACGGCCGCGGUAUUAUGACCGUGCAAAGGUAGCGUAAUCACUUGUCUUUUAAAUAAAGACCUGUAUGAAUGGCAAAACGAAAGUUCAACUGUCUCCCUAAGUUAAUCAGUGAAAUUGAUUUUUCCGUGCAGAAGCGGAAAUAAAUUUAUAAGACGAGAAGACCCUAUGGAGCUUCAAAUAUAAAUCAAUUGUUUUAAUUAAAAUCAACCAAAAAAAUAAUAAAACAUAAUGAUUAAAAUUUUAGGUUGGGGCGACCACGGAAAAAAACAAAACUUCCGAGAUGAAAUAUUAUUAAUGAACAACAGUUCUAAAAAAUAAAAUAUUUAACAUAAUUGAUCCAAUAUUUGAUCAACGAACCAAGUUACCCUAGGGAUAACAGCGCAAUCCUUUCUAAGAGUCCUUAUCGACGAAUGGGUUUACGACCUCGAUGUUGGAUCAGGACACCCCAAUGGUGUAGCCGCUAUUAAAGGUUCGUUUGUUCAACGAUUAAAGUCCUACGUGAUCUAGCCCA